AUUGAACGCUGGCGGCAGGCCUAACACAUGCAAGUCGAGCGUGCGGCGGAAGUGUGAGCAAUGUCUGGGAAACUGCCUGAUGGAGGGGGCUAACAACUGGAAACGGCAGCUAAUACCGCAUAUCAGAGGCUGCGCCCAGGUGGGAUUAGCUAGUAGGUGGGGUAACGGCUUACCAAGGCGACGAUCCCUAGCUGGCCUGAGAGGAUGACCAGCCACACUGGAACGGAGACACGGUCCAGACUCCUACGGGAGGCAGCAGUGGGGAAUAUUUCACAAUGGGCGAAAGCCUGAUGCAGCCAUGCCGCGUGUGUGAAGAAGGCCUUCGGGUUGUAAAGUACUUUCAGUGGGGAGGCGGUAAUCGCAGAAAAAGCACCGGCUAACUCCGUGCCAGCAGCCGCGGUAAUAC
rnacentral:rRNA from 1 species